rnacentral:rRNA from 1 species
AGCAGUCGCCACGGGAAUACGAAGGGGGCUAGCGUUGCUCGGAAUUACUGGGCGUAAAGGGAGCGUAGGCGGAUCGUUUAGUCAGGGGUGAAAUCCCGGGGCUCAACCUCGGAACUGCCUUUGAUACUGGCGAUCUUGAGUAUGGGAGAGGUGUGUGGAACUCCGAGUGUAGAGGUGAAAUUCGUAGAUAUUCGGAAGAACACCAGUGGCGAAGGCGACACACUGGCCCAUUACUGACACUGAGAGACGAAAGCUAGGGGAGCAAAUGGGAUUAGAUACCCCCGUAGUCCCUGUCUCUUAUAC